AGCGAACGUUUGCGGCGGGCUUAACACGUGCAAGUCGAACGGGCUGUUCCUUCGGGGGCAGUCAGUGGCGCACGGGUGCGUAACACGUAGGUAAUCAACCCUUCAGCUCGGGAUAACACUUCGAAAGGAGUGCUAAUACCGGAUGUGAUGCAGGGCUCUUCGGAGUGCUGCAGGAAAGAUCCGCAAGGGUCACUGAAGGACGAGCCUGCGGCCCAUCAGCUAGUUGGCGAGGUGAUGGCUCACCAAGGCGAAGACGGGUAGCUGGUCUGAGAGGAUGAUCAGUCACACUGGAACUGAGACACGGUCCAGACUCCUACGGGAGGCAGCAGUGGGGAAUAUUGCGCAAUGGGCGAAAGCCUGACGCAGCCACGCCGCGUGAGUGAUGAAGGCCCUCGGGUCGUAAAGCUCUGUGGAGAGGGACGAAAACCCUGGUUUCAAAUAGGCUCCAGGCUUGACGGUACCUCUUUAGCAAGCACCGGCUAACUCCG
rnacentral:rRNA from 1 species